rnacentral:rRNA from 1 species
GACGAACGCUGGCGGCGUGCCUAAUACAUGCAAGUAGAACGCUGAAGGAGGAGCUUGCUUCUCUGGAUGAGUUGCGAACGGGUGAGUAACGCGUAGGUAACCUGCCUGGUAGCGGGGGAUAACUAUUGGAAACGAUAGCUAAUACCGCAUAAGAGUAGAUGUUGCAUGACAUUUGCUUAGAAGGUGCAAUUGCAUCACUACCAGAUGGACCUGCGUUGUAUUAGCUAGUUGGUGGGGUAACGGCUCACCAAGGCGACGAUACAUAGCCGACCUGAGAGGGUGAUCGGCCACACUGGGACUGAGACACGGCCCAGACUCCUACGGGAGGCAGCAGUAGGGAAUCUUCGGCAAUGGACGGAAGUCUGACCGAGCAACGCCGCGUGAGUGAAGAAGGUUUUCGGAUCGUAAAGCUCUGUUGUAAGAGAAGAACGAGUGUGAGAGUGGAAAGUUCACACUGUGACGGUAUCUUACCAGAAAGGGACGGCUAACUACGUG